CUUUUCUCUGUUUGUUUCUAGUCGACAGUUUCGGUUCUUAGAAUGAGACGAAAAAGGGAGAAAAAAAAAGCGAGAUUACUUCAGUGUGAGAUUGGCGUGAACAGGUAGGCGUAGGCACGAGGAGACGACGUGCAGAUCAAGAAUCAUAAUCAUUAAACAGAAGAAAUCUACACGCUGGUUCUUUAAAGUCUCUGUUACACUCUGGUUGCAACAAUACAUUCACAAGAUGGACAAUAAGCUUCCUAUAUCUUUCCUAGUUUACUCAAUCAAAGUCUUGCUUUCUCAUAAUAACUGAGACCAAUCAUGUGCAGUUGAUAGAUCUAGAUCUAGUCUAUAGGGGUCUAUAUUACAGGCCUACAAGAACACAUUGAACUAGCCACAAAAAGGGGCACAACUUACAGAGGUGACGAAGUGAGUCUAGUUACGAGCAGCGACAAGAGAUGCUGGCAGAAUGGACAGUGUCCACGUUUUUGUUCUUUCAGUGCGGACUUUUGGUAAAAAGAUCUU
rnacentral:sRNA from 1 species